rnacentral:rRNA from 1 species
CUGAGUAGUAGUAGUUAUGUUCUUGAAACUUAAAAAAUUUGGCGGUAUUUUAGUCUAUUCAGAGGAACCUGUUCUGUAAUCGAUAAUCCACGUUGGACCUUUCUUGCUCUUGUUUUCAGUUUAUAUACCGUCGUUAUCAGAGAAUUUUAAAAGAAAAGCAAUUCUCUUUAAUUUUUAUAAGAAUUUAUAUCAGAUCAAGGUGUAGCUUAUGGGUAAGUAGAAAUGGGUUACAAUAAAGUUAUUUAUAUGGAUGUAAAUUUGAAACGCUUACUGAAAGUGGAUUUGAUAGUAAAGUUGUAUAGAUUAUCAACUUGAUUUUAGCUCUAUAAUAUGCACACAUCGCCCGUCGCUCUUAUUACUAAGAUAAGAUAAGUCGUAACAUAGUAGAUGUACCGGAAGGUGUAUCUAGAAUGACAAUUUAAAGCUUAAUAAGUAAAGCAUUUCGUUUACAUUGAAAAGAUUUUUGUGCAAAUCAUUAUAAGUUGAAUAAUUUUUAUUUAUUGAUUUUAUUUUUUUCGUUUUAAAUUACCAAAAAUAAUUUCAUAGGUUUAAGUUUUAGUAUUGUAUAAAGAAAUAAUAAUUUUUAUAAUAGAUAAUUAGUAUUGUGAAAGAACAUUGAAAUAAUUGAAAAA